UAAACAUAGUACCAAGUUCUUCUCUUUGGCCUUUUGUUCAAAUCCUUAUUCUUGAUCUCUGUUCUGCCGGAUCCGAUAAUUUGGUUGAGUUUCUGCUGGUAAUUAGGAAAACCCAUCAAAAGAAGAAAACGAAAUCCAAGGAAAUCUCUCAUCUAUCCAAAUCUGAAUUCAUCAAACAUUUCAGCCUCAGGUACACAAAGUUAGAGUCGGUGUUUGUUAGGUGAUUUCUAUAAUUCUAUGCGGAUAAUAAUAAGAAACAUCAACGCAAAAGCGGUAUGGUAUGAUCUGAAUCCACAACUUGAAUUUUCAUUUCUCUUCAUAUAUUGGUUUAGAAUAUCGUUAUUCAAUUGUUCUAGGUGAUGAGUUUGAAUUAUUAGUGGGGGGUUAAAAACCAAAAACAGAAACCUUUGGUUAGAGAAACAUAUUUGGAUUAGUUGUUGACAUGAGCAACAAGCAACCAAUUGAGCUUGACGAUGAUCAAAUCGCUGAGCUGCGUGAAAUAUUUCGUUCAUUUGAUCGGAACAAUGAUGGGAGUUUGACACAACUUGAGCUAGGAUCUCUCUUGAGAUCACUUGGUCUAAAACCAAGCCCGGAACAGCUUGAAACCUUGAUUCAAAAGACUGAUACGAACAGCAACGGUCUGAUUGAGUUUUCGGAGUUUAUAACACUUGUGGCACCUGACCUCCUUCCAGCUAAGUCUCCAUAUACAGAAGACCAGCUGAGGCAGUUGUUUAGGCUUUUUGAUAGAGAUGGAAAUGGGUUUAUAACCGCGGCCGAGUUGGCCCAUUCUAUGGCCAAGUUGGGGCAUGCGCUUACUGCAGAGGAGUUGACCGGGAUGAUCAAGGAGGCUGAUUUGGAUGGAGAUGGGACAAUUAAUUUUGAGGAGUUCUCCCUAGCAAUAAAUUCCGCAGCAUUUGAUAAUUCAUGGUCUUGAAACCAAACAUGGGGAUUUCAUUUUGGUACAGUUGGCCACUAUCUAGGCUGUAGAAGACUGGAUUUGUUUGCAUCAAAUAACCUACUUAGGAGUCUUGCACAUCAAAAUUCUGUACAGUUCAAGGUAAGACAAAUCUCCAUUCCAGCAGGUUGAUCUAAUCCCACAUGCCCACAGCUCUAUGAUUAUUGGAUUAUGCAGGGGCUGAUACGUUUCAUCCAUGAACGUUCGGCAAAGUGAACGUGGCACAGACAUUCCCUUUUGAUGUUCUAAUUUAGUAUGUUGGGUGAGUCAAGAAGUUUGUAUUUGCUUCAAUGUCCCCAUUUCUUGGUAAAUGACAUUAAAUCAGUAAGAUCUGUUAGCUUUUUGUUUUGAAUAAUUUCAUGCCCUUAGGUUUGAAAUAUUGUUCAUGUUGCAAUGUAUUGAUCAUAAGCGUUUGCAUUGACACUCAAAUAUUACUACUGAUGAGUAACUUAAAUUUCUUCCCUUUGUUGAAUAGAAACGUUCUGGACACUUUGUGUAACUA